rnacentral:rRNA from 1 species
GUGUCAGCCGCCGCGGUAAUACGUAGGUGGCAAGCGUUGUCCGGAAUUACUGGGCGUAAAGGGUGCGCAGGCGGAUAUUUAAGUGAGAUGUGAAAUACCCGGGCUCAACCCGGGCAGGGCAUUUCAAACUGGGUGUCUGGAGUGCAGGAGAGGAGAGUGGAAUUCCUAGUGUAGCGGUGAAAUGCGUAGAGAUUAGGAGGAACACCAGUGGCGAAGGCGGCUCUCUGGA